CCUACGGGGGGCAGCAGUGGGGAAUAUUGGACAAUGGGGGCAACCCUGAUCCAGCCAUGCCGCGUGUGUGAAGAAGGCCCUCGGGUUGUAAAGCACUUUCAGUGAGGAAGAACGCCUGGUGGUUAAUACCCAUCAGGAAAGACAUCACUCACAGAAGAAGCACCGGCUAACUCCGUGCCAGCAGCCGCGGUAAUACGGAGGGUGCGAGCGUUAAUCGGAAUUACUGGGCGUAAAGCGCGCGUAGGUGGCUUGAUAAGCCGGUUGUGAAAGCCCCGGGCUCAACCUGGGAACGGCAUCCGGAACUGUCAAGCUAGAGUGCAGGAGAGGAAGGUAGAAUUCCCGGUGUAGCGGUGAAAUGCGUAGAGAUCGGGAGGAAUACCAGUGGCGAAGGCGGCCUUCUGGACUGACACUGACACUGAGGUGCGAAAGCGUGGGUAGCAAACAGGAUUAGAUACACUGGUAGUC
rnacentral:rRNA from 1 species